rnacentral:rRNA from 1 species
GCAUAUCAAUAAGCGGAGGAAAAGAAACUAACAAGGAUUCCCCUAGUAACGGCGAGUGAAGCGGGAAGAGCACAAAUUUUAAAUCUACCUGGUUUUACUAGGUCGAGUUGUAAUUUGAAGAAACGUUUUUAAUGUUUCUAGGUUGGUUUAAAUCCUUUGGGAUAAGAUAUCAUGGAGGGUGAGAAUCCCGUGUAUACCAACCGUAGGGAUGUUAUAUAAUACGUUUUCUAAGAGUCGAGUUGUUUGGGAAUGCAGCUCUAAAUGGGUGGUAAAUUUCACCUAAUGCUAAAUAUAGGCGAGAGACCGAUAGCGAACAAGUACCGUGAGGGAAAGAUGAAAAGAACUUUGAAAAGAGAGUUAAAUAGUACGUGAAAUUGUUGAAAGGGAAACGAUUAAAGUCAGUCAUGCCGGUAGGAAUCAACUUAGAGAUGGGGAUUUUUUGAACCAGCUUCGAGUGCAUUUCUUUACUUGGCAGGUUAGCGUCGAUUUUGGGCGUUAUAAAAUGACCGGGGGAAGGUGGCUCCUUCGGGAGUGUUAUAGCCCUUAGUAGAUGUAAUGCCUGGGAUCGAGGAUUAUAACGGAUACCCUUCGGGGCUAGCCGCCUAAUCUCUAAUAGAUGUUGGGUUAUGGACAGCACGCUGACUAUGAUUUAAUUAUUGGUUAAAAGGUUAGAGCGAGCGUAAAUUCGUUAAGGAUGUUGACGUAAUGG